AGAGUUUGAUCCUGGCUCAGGAUAAACGCUGGCGGCGUGCCUUAUGCAUGCAAGUGGAACGGUCCCGAUUUAUCGGGAUAGUGGCAAACGGGUGAGUAACGCGUAAGUAACCUGCCCCUAAGUAGAGGAUAACUCUAAGAAAUUGGAGCUGAUACUUUAUGUGGUGGUGGAGGUAAGGCUUCAUCAUUAAAGCCUUAGGGCGCUUGGGGAGGGGCUUGCGUCCGAUUAGCUAGUUGGUAGGGUAACGGUUUACCAAGGUGAUGAUCGGUAGCUGGUCUGAGAGGACGAUCAGCCACACUGGGACUGAGACACGGCCCAGACUCCUACGGGAGGCAGCAGCAGGGAAUUUUGUGCAAUGGGCGAAAGCCUGACACAGCGACGCCGCGUGAGGGAUGAAGGCCUUCGGGUUGUAAACCUCUUUUAUCAGGGAAGAAUAAUGACGGUACCUGAGGAAUAAGUCUCGGCUAACUACGUGCCAGCAGCCGCGGUAAUACGUAGGAGGCGAGCGUUAUCCGGAUUUACUGGGCGUAAAGGGGGCGUAGGCGGCUUUUCAAGUCGGAUGUAAAAUCUCCCCGCUUAACGGGGAGGGGUCAUUCGAUACUGUUAAGCUAGAGGACAGCAGAGGGAGGUGGAAUUCCCGGUGUAGUGGUGAAAUGCGUAGAUAUCGGGAGGAACACCAGUGGCGAAGGCGGCCUCCUGGGCUGUUGCUGACGCUGAGGUCCGAAAGCGUGGGGAGCGAACAGGAUUAGAUACCCUGGUAGUCCACGCUGUUAACGAUGGGCACUAGGUAUAGGGAGUAUCGACCCUCUCUGUGCCGGAGCUAACGCGUUAAGUGCCCCGCCUGGGGACUACGGCCGCAAGGCUAAAACUCAAGGAUUGACGGGGGCCCGCACAGCAGCGGAGCGUGUGGUUUAUUCGAUGCACGCGAGACUUACCAGCUUGACAUGACAGAGUAGCACCCGAAAGGGAGCCACCUGUGAGUCAGACUGUCACAGGUGCUGCAUGAUGUCGUCAGCUCUGCUGGAGGGGUGGGUAGUCUGUACGAGCGCACCUGUGUAGUGUUUUUUCUAGGAACUGCUCGGAAACGGAGAAAGGUGGGGAGUGACACUCAGUCACAUGCUUAUGCUUGGCUGACAC
rnacentral:rRNA from 1 species